GUGCCCACUUUGGCAGCACAUAUACUAAAAUUAGAAUGAUACAGAGAUUAGCAUGGCCCCUGUACAAGGAUGACACAAAUUCAUGAAGCAUUCCAUAUUAAA